rnacentral:rRNA from 1 species
UACGGGGGGGGCAAGCGUUGUUCGGAAUUACUGGGCGUAAAGGGCUCGUAGGCGGCCAACUAAGUCAGACGUGAAAUCCCUAGGCUCAACCUAGGAACUGCGUCUGAUACUGGAUGGCUUGAAUCCGGGAGAGGGAUGCAGAAUUCCAGGUGUAGCGGUGAAAUGCGUAGAUAUCGGGAGGAACACCAGUGGCGAAGGCGGCACUCUGGGCCGACACUGACGCUGAGGAGCGAAAGCGUGGGGAGCGAACAGG